UACGUAGGGCGCAAGCGUUGUCCGGAAUUAUUGGGCGUAAAGAGCUCGUAGGCGGCUUGUCGCGUCGACCGUGAAAACUUGGGGCUCAACCCCAAGCCUGCGGUCGAUACGGGCAGGCUCGAGUUCGGUAGGGGAGACUGGAAUUCCUGGUGUAGCGGUGAAAUGCGCAGAUAUCAGGAGGAACACCGGUGGCGAAGGCGGGUCUCUGGGCCGAUACUGACGCUGAGGAGCGAAAGCGUGGGGAGCGAACAGG
rnacentral:rRNA from 1 species